AUGUAGAUGCAAGUUUCAGCACACAGUACUUUGAGAUGACCUUAGAUAUGCAGUUUCAUACUAGUAGAAGAGAAAAAUCUCUGCUGUGAGUCCUAGUGUAGAGCUUCAGGAAAAACUAUAAAGGCUAUCUACCAAAGAGCAAACCUUUGCCAUUGCUAUAUUUCUGAUGACAAAAAAAAGCAGUAAAAAACUGAUAAGAAAUUCAAAAAAAUUUCUAGGAGUGCCAGGAGCAGAUGUUUAGGCAAUAGAGCAUCCAUCAGCAUGGUUUGGCAUAUUUCAAAAAUAUGGUGAUUACAUUUGCAUAGACAAAUCAAAUAUCCUGCAGCAACAAGUGCAACAGAGCAUGGAGGUGCAAUAGGAACAGUCAUUUCUAUGAGCAACUCAAAGCACACGAUACAUGGAGGAUACACUGGACGAUAAUGGAUAGUCGGAGAAAGAAGUAUCAAGUUACACUUAAAAUAAAAAAGUUAUAUGUAAAUUUUUUGGCUGACAAUAAAGUUACAUACAAAAUUUUUGUAUAGUUGGUCUAUAAUUUAUAAAAUUGGAAGCAGUACUGAAGUAUAAUUA